UACGUAGUGGGCUAGCGUUAUCCGGAAUUACUGGGCGUAAAGGGUGCGUAGGUGGUUUCUUAAGUCAGAGGUGAAAGGCUACGGCUCAACCGUAGUAAGCCUUUGAAACUGGGAAACUUGAGUGCAGGAGAGGAGAGUGGAAUUCCUAGUGUAGCGGUGAAAUGCGUAGAUAUUAGGAGGAACACCAGUUGCGAAGGCGGCUCUCUGGACUGUAACUGACACUGAGGCACGAAAGCGUGGGUAGCAAACAGGAUUAGAUACCCUGGUAGUCCCUGA
rnacentral:rRNA from 1 species